CAGUCGCCGCGGGAAUACGGAGGAUCCAAGCGUUAUCCGGAAUCAUUGGGUUUAAAGGGUCCGUAGGCGGUCUUGUAAGUCAGUGGUGAAAGCCCAUCGCUCAACGGUGGAACGGCCAUUGAUACUGCAGGACUUGAAUUAUUGGGAAGUAACUAGAAUAUGUAGUGUAGCAGUGAAAUGCUUAGAGAUUACAUGGAAUACCAAUUGCGAAGGCAGGUUACUACCAAUUGAUUGACGCUGAUGGACGAAAGCGUGGGUAGCGAACAGGAUUAGAUACCCCGGUAGUCCCUGUCUCUUAUAC
rnacentral:rRNA from 1 species